rnacentral:RNase_P_RNA from 1 species
CGGGAUAGUCUGCGGGAGGAAAGUCCGGGCAUCACAGGGCCGGAUGGUCGGUAACGCCGACCGAGGGAAACCUCCGGGACAGUGCCACAGAAAACAGACCGCCGGGCACGCGCGCCCCUUCGGGGGCCGCUCGGUAAGGGUGAAACGGCGAGGUAAGAGCUCACCGGGGCGGCGGCGACGUCGUCCGCAGAGGCAAACCCCAUCUCGAUGCAAGAUGAACCGGAGUCGGGCACACGCCCGGAAGCGGCCCGCUUCCAUACUCCAGGUAGUCGCUCGAGCCGCAUGGCAACGUGCGGCCUAGAUGAAUGACGGUCCCGCGCGAGCGGACCGAACCCGGCUUACUCG